rnacentral:rRNA from 1 species
AUGUACAUGAGCUGCGGCGAUGUUGCCGAGGCGGAGGCGGUGUUUCGUGCGAUGCAGAACCGUUCGGUCGUGUCGUGGAAUGCGGUGAUUGCUGGGUGCGUCAAGAACGGCUGUGCAGAAAGGGCGUUGGAGGUGUUUGGCGAGAUGGUUGGUGAUGGUGCCGGUGUUGACCGUGCCACGAUUGUGUCUGUGCUGCCAGCUUGUGCGCGAACCAAGAAUUUGAGCAUUGGAAGAGCUGUGCACCGGUUGGUUGAGGAAAGAGGCUUGGGGGACUAUGCCGCGGUGAAGAACGCGCUGAUUGAUAUGUAUGGGAAGUGCGGGAGAUUGGAGGAUGCUCGCAGGGUCUUCGAUGGACAUAAAUAUGACAAGAAUGUUGUUUCUUGGACAGUGAUGAUUGGUGCGUACGUGCUGAAUGACCGUGUGGACGAGGCCUUUAAUCUUGGUUUUGAUAUGCUCAUGACUGGUGGUGCACCAUGGCCGAAUGGAGUGACCAUGGCGUAUCUACUCUCAGCUUGUUCCAGCUUGCCGUCAUGGAGGCGUGCCAAGUGCACGCACGCAAUGUGCAUUAGACUUGGGCUUGAAUCAGACAUCGUUGUUGAGACUGCACUUAUUGACACUUACGCGAAGUGCCAUAAGAUGAAGAUGAUGGAGUUGACACUUGAAAAUGGCUCACGGCGGACAGAAACAUGGAAUGCGGCUAUCUCUGGUUAUAGUCGCAGUGAACGGGAGAAGAAAGCUGUAGAAUUAUUUAAGCGGAUGAUUGGAGAAUCGGUGCGCCCAGACUCUGCAACACUUGCAAGCAUCCUCCCUGCGUAUGGAGAAUCCGCGGACCUGAGACAAGCAAGGAACAUCCACUGUUACUUGCUGACUCUUGGGUUUCUUCGGAGCACAUCGAUCACAACUGGUUUAGUCGAUGUGUAUGCCAAGGCAGGUGAUCUGGACAUGGCAUGGGCACUCUUCGACGGGCUACCUGAAAAGGAUGUUGUUGCCUGGACCACUAUCCUCGCUGGGUACGGUAUGCACGGACAUGCCCGAACUGCCAUCCUGCUAUAUGAACAGAUGGUGGAGUUGGCGGUGAAGCCGAACACCGUGACGUUCACCUCCCUGCUGUACGCUUGCAGCCAUGCAGGCUUGAUAGACGAAGGCCUUCAGCUAUUUGAGGACAUGCGUAGCAUUCAUGGCGUGGUGCCAAAUGUCGAGCACUACCUGUCCCUGAUCGACAUGAUUGGGCGUGCUGGGAGGAUCAAGGAGGCCUACCGCUUCAUCAAAGAUAUGCCAUUCGAGCCAAGUACCUCGGUAUGGGGUGUUCUGCUGGGUGCUUGUGUUCUACACAAAAAUGUUGAGUUUGGGGAGAUUGCGGCGAAGCAUCUGUUUGAGCUUGAGCCGGAGAACACCGGGAAUCGUGUACUCCUUGGGAACAUAUAUGCUGCAGCUGACAGAUGGAACGAUGUUCAGGAUAUCCGGAAAAUGAUGGGAAGAGAGGGUCUCAUCAAAGAACCGGGAUCUAGUUUGGUCGAGGCAAGGUCUGAACAAUGCCGAACAGCGAUGUUAUAG